rnacentral:rRNA from 1 species
AUACUUAGUGGCGAACGGGUGAGUAUAAUGUGGGUAUCUGCCUUUUGGUUUGGAAUAACACGGGGAAACUUGUGCUAAUACCGGAUAAGCCUUUACAGGGAAAGUUUUAACGCCAAAAGAUGAGCCCGCACUUGAUUAGCUAGUUGGUGAGGUAAUAGCUCACCAAGGCAACGAUCAAUAGCUGUUCUUAGAGGAAGACCAGCCACAUUGGGACUGAGACACGGCCCAAACUCCUACGGGAGGCAGCAGUGGGGAAUCUUGCACAAUGGGGGAAACCCUGAUGCAGCGAUGCCGCGUGAGUGAAGAAGGCCUUUGGGUUGUAAAGCUCUUUCGUCGGGGAAGAAAAUGACUGUACCCGAAUAAGAAGGUCCGGCUAACUUCGUGCCAGCAGCCGCGGUAAUACGAAGGGACCUAGCGUAGUUCGGAAUUACUGGGCUUAAAGAGCUCGUAGGUGGUUAGAAAAGUUGGUGGUGAAAGCCCAAGGCUUAACCUUGGAACUGCCACCAAAACUUUUAAACUAGAGUAUGAUAGAGGAAAGUGGAAUUUCUAGUGUAGAGGUGAAAUUCGUAGAUAUUAGAAAGAACACCAAUUGCGAAGGCAACUUUCUGGAUCAUUACUGACACUGAGGAGCGAAAGUAUGGGUAGCGAAGAGGAUUAGAUACCCUCGUAGUCCAUGCCGUAAACGAUGUGUGCUAGACGUUGGAAAUUUAUUUUUCAGUGUCGCAGCAAAAGCGUUAAGCACACCGCCUGGG